rnacentral:rRNA from 1 species
CCUACGGGAGGCAGCAGUGGGGAAUUUUGGACAAUGGGCGAAAGCCUGAUCCAGCCAUGCCGCGUGCAGGAUGAAGGCCUUCGGGUUGUAAACUGCUUUUGUACGGAACGAAAAGGUCUUUUCUAAUAAAGAAGGCUCAUGACGGUACCGUAAGAAUAAGCACCGGCUAACUACGUGCCAGCAGCCGCGGUAAUACGUAGGGUGCGAGCGUUAAUCGGAAUUACUGGGCGUAAAGCGUGCGCAGGCGGUUAUAUAAGACAGUUGUGAAAUCCCCGGGCUCAACCUGGGAACUGCAUCUGUGACUGUAUAGCUAGAGUACGGUAGAGGGGGAUGGAAUUCCGCGUGUAGCAGUGAAAUGCGUAGAUAUGCGGAGGAACACCGAUGGCGAAGGCAAUCCCCUGGACCUGUACUGACGCUCAUGCACGAAAGCGUGGGGAGCAAACAGGAUUAGAUACCCUGGUAGUCCACGCCCUAAACGAUGUCAACUGGUUGUUGGGUCUUCACUGACUCAGUAACGAAGCUAACGCGUGAAGUUGACCGCCUGGGGAGUACGGCCGCAAGGUUGAAACUCAAAGAGUAGUGCGNGNGAGAGCGACGACGACGACGACGGAGGGAGGAG